AGUGAACGCUGGCGGCGUGCCUAAUACAUGCAAGUCGAACGAAGUGGCGCACGGGUGAGUAAUAUAUAGUUAAUCUGCCCUACACAGAGGAACAACAGUUGGAAACGGCUGCUAAUACCUCAUAGUGUUGGAGUAGACUAUAACGUAUCAGCUAGUUGGUAAGGUAAUGGCUGACCAAGGCUAUGACGCGUAACUGGUCUGAGAGGAUGAUCAGUCACAUUGGAACUGAGACACGGUCCAAACUCCUACGGGAGUCAGCAGAAAGGAAUAGUGCGCAAUGGGGGAAACCCUGACGCAGCAACGCCGCGUGGAGUAUGACACUUUGCGGGGCGUAAACUCCUUUUAUCAGGAAAGCGGUACCUGAAGAAUAAGCACCGGCUAACUCCGUGCCAGCAGCCGCGGUAAUAC
rnacentral:rRNA from 1 species